CUGGGUUGACAUAAAAUGGAAAGGAGGUUUUAUGCAACACCCAGUGCAGCAGGAUGGAAAUAGCUGUGGGGUACUUGUCAUCAUGAUGGCUAAGGCGGUCAAGGAGACCUUUCCGAAAAUUCCCAAAAUAGCAUUUGGUACAGCAAAGAGAGAGAUGGAACAGCAGUGUAAACAUUUCAGUCUGGAAAUACUUAAAGCCUCAGUGUUUUACACAGAGAGCAACUGUGCAAUGUGCAUGACGACAAAACCACCCAGCCACGGACCUUCCAUUACUGACUGGAUUCAGUGUGACAGCUGUUGCCGGUGGUUUCAUGGCCAGUGCCUACAGAUGGACACAGCACAGCGUGACGCUGCAAAGACAGGUGACUGGGAUUGUUGUCUGUGUCGGAAAUAAUGCCACAUACAGUACAUGUUGUGUCAUACCCUAACAGUUUUGUAAAUACAGAAUGUGUGUCUCGAUUUACAGAGCAAAGUAUUUUAAUAACAUCUUCAGUUUCAUGUAACUAUUUCACUAUUGAAAUGUGUGAAUGUCCUUUAAAAAUUCUCAAAAGUUGUACCUUAAAAAUGUUUGAUUUUUACUUUGUGUGUUGUCAGAUAUGUCCUUAACUCAAAUAUCAUUGCACGGAACGAUGGACCAAAGUCUUUUUAUUGCACCUCCAGUUUCAUGUUUUUAGUCAUCCAACAGCAGAAGUAUAGGGUUUUAAUUUGAAAAAUCUCCAAAAUUAUACAGUAGAAAUGUUUGGUUUUCAGUAUGGGUGUAGUCAAAGAUGCCCUAUACUCAAAUAUGUCAGUCAUUGCCUGGAACUAUGGAGGAAAGCCUUUGUAUUGCACCUCCAGUUUCACAUUUUUUGUCAUCUAACAGCAGAAGUAUGAGAUUUUGCUUCUAAAAAUCUUCCAAAUUCUACAGUAGAACU